CUCAUGUUGUCUUAACCCUUCAUAAUUGGAAAGUGAGGCAAGUCUGCUGUUGCUUGAUUUAAGGAUCUGAGGGCUGUUAUUCCAUGUUUAUUUGGCCAGUCCAGGCUACUGAGCACAGUGACCCAAGCUUUCCUGUCCUAAUGUCAGCCCAUGUGCAGGAGGGUAUGAGAAGCAAAGAUUGUGUUCAAGGCAACCUGCAGAUACUUAUCACUAUCAGAGAUGGGGACAUGGUUGGAUUCUGGGUGGAAAGUAGGGAAUAAUGACAGCAUGGAGAAGCCAGCGCCCAGAGGACAGAGGAAUGUGGCAGCAAGCACCUGACUCUCCAGACAAGAAGGGAUGAAAAGGUAGUUGAUCUUCAUCUAAAUAUCAGCAAUCAUGCGUAUAAAACUCAUCUGUUCAAACGCCUACAUUCUCUGUUUGGUUUACUAACAAGAACAAGUAAAAGUGAUAGCAGCAAAUAAUAAAUAGCUGCUCUUUUAACGUCCAGAUGCUGCAACUUGUCUGUACCCUGAGAAACAGAGCUAAAAAGGCAGCUUCCAAAGGAUCAUCGAGUCAAAACAUCAACUCCUCUGAAAGUUUUCAAUGUUAAAGCAUGAGUGAAUCUUGUGGCUUCAAGCAACAGAGGUAAAGGAUGUUCCCAAAGGGUGACAUGAUCAAGAUCCCAGGUAUGGUAUGUAGUGGUGGUAGCUCAAAAACUCUAGACCAAACGAGGAAGGAAAAAACAGAACAAGUUCUAUCUCUCCUCCUGAUCCCAGACAC
ensembl:lncRNA